CUUGGAGCUUUUCUUCAACAAUGGGCAAUCCAUUCGAAAAUGCUCGGGCUUCUUACAUCCAUAGCAAAGGGGUUGCUCUUUUUCUCUUUCUUUCUCUUUCUCCUACCUUCUCCUUUGUUAUACCUUCUCUUUGGUUCAAACUUCUUUCUUCUUCUCAUGAAUUUCUUAAAUCUUCUAGCUAUCAUUGCCAUCUCUUCAUCAUCCU
rnacentral:lncRNA from 1 species